GUGGGGAAUAUUGGACAAUGGGCGCAAGCCUGAUCCAGCCAUGCCGCGUGAGUGAUGAAGGCCUUAGGGUUGUAAAGCUCUUUCAGUGGGGACGAUAAUGACGGUACCCACAGAAGAAGCCCCGGCUAACUUCGUGCCAGCAGCCGCGGUAAUACGAAGGGGGCUAGCGUUGUUCGGAUUUACUGGGCGUAAAGCGCACGUAGGCGGUUUGUUAAGUCAGAGGUGAAAUCCCGGAGCUCAACUCCGGAACUGCCUUUGAUACUGGCAAGCUAGAGUCCGGAAGAUGUAAGUGGAACUCCUAGUGUAGAGGUGGAAUUCGUAGAUAUUAGGAAGAACACCAGUGGCGAAGGCGGCUUACUGGUCCGGAACUGACGCUGAGGUGCGAAAGCGUGGGGAGCAAACAGGAUUAGAAACCCUAGUAGUCC
rnacentral:rRNA from 1 species